UGUAGUUGGCAAUAGUGUGCAAUUUUUGGUGAUUCUGAGACAUUUUUGAGUAAUAACAUAAACGCUCAUAUUCAAAAUAUGUAUUCCAAACAAAUAUAAUCUUUCUUUAAUUUGUUUUCAAUAUUUAUGGUUUAAACUAAAAUCAUAUAAAUUAUUAGAACGUGCAUAUUGUAUUCACAACCACAUCUAUUGUGAAUGGGUUUGUUUACAGGCGUAAAAAGACCGGGAAUUGUUGCAGCUAACUUCAUGUUAAAUAGUAGCUUCAUUAAAAAGCUGUAUCAAAACUUUAUUUUAAAAUUAAAUUGAUAUAUAAUUGAUAGAAAUUAGCCGACAUGGAGUUACGGCCUUUUAAAAUCCUUCUUCUGGCAGAGAAUACAUUGAUUUACACAAGUAACAUUGAAGAACGUUUAGCCGACGUUUGCAAUUGGGUUGAAUAUGAUGUGCACUGAUUAGGAAAAGUAAAAGAAUAAAUGGUGCUCAAUAGAAAGGCGAACAACAUCCAAUUCUAGAUUGAUGCUUGUUAGAAAUCAAUUUAAGUAGAUACCAUAAAAGAAUAUUUAAUACAGCAAAAGGGUUUAUGAAAACCUGCGGCAGUUAAACAAAUUUUAAAGAAAAUAGUUGUCAAGUAAUAUAUUCAGAAAUCAUAAAUCAUUUCAAAUGCUUACCGAGUAGCGACAUAUUGUGAAAAAGUCCAGCUUCAAAAGGUUAUUAGCUACUCUGGUGUUGAUUUCAGCUUUAUCAUGCUUAAGAUUUUUAUAUUUUUUUCGUUUCAGCACAGAAAAAGCUAGAUUUUGUUAAAAAAUUUAAAAAAUGCGACUUUAAGUAUUAAAAAUAAUAUUAAUAAGAUAAAUGAUAAGCAAAACAAGAUUAUUUUCAAGUAUUUUAAGCAAUAUUGAUGAAUUUAUUGGAUCUAAUACCUACAAAAUUUCCAAAAAGAA